rnacentral:pre_miRNA from 1 species
AUUGUACUCCCUCCAUUCCGAAUUACUUGUCUCGGAAAUGGAUGUAUCUAGAACUAAAAUACAUCUAGAUACAUCCAUUUUCGAGACAAGUAAUUCCGAAAGGAGGGAGUAGAUG